rnacentral:tRNA from 1 species
GCUGGGGAUAAGCUCAGUUGGUAGAGUGCUUGCCUAGCAUGCAUAAGGCCUUGGGUUCAAUCCCCAGCACCAGCC